rnacentral:lncRNA from 1 species
GGGCAUCUCAAGUAGUACCUUCUCCAAGAAGCCUUCUCUAACCAAUGGGCAAAAGCAAGCACUCCUUCUUUCAGAGACUCCUAUGAAAGUCAUUUGUACCAUUCAUUUUGGUCAAAGGCAUGUGUUGAGGAAAGUGCAUAGUAUUUGGAGUAGAAUAGUUAAAAUUGAAUUCCUAAUUAAGACUAUUGGCCAAUAAUUGUGGCACCUUGAAAAAGCCUCUUACUUCCUUUGUAUGACAGUUUCCUAAUUUGUGAAGCAGUAAUAAUAGUAUUAUGUGAUUCUUAACACCUUGUGCGAAUCAAACCAGGUCAUGAUUAUGGCUUGUAAAGUGCUAUGCCAUUGCUCAUUUUCAUUCUAUGUCAGAUGCUCUCCAUACUGGAACGUGUCAGCUGGUCAAUUAGAAUCUGCUUCUUGGAUACAGGAACUGGGUUAUUUUGUCUUCCACAGUCAUGAAUGCUACCAGGAUUACUUGACUUGAAGUAGAAUGAAACUGAGAAACAUUUAAAGAACCUACUGUGUGUGGUUUAGCACCUCUGUCUGCAAUGGGCGGGGCUCUCACACGGUGGUGGGCAAGACAGGUGAGGAAACAGAUGAGAGCCCUGCUGUGGGCCAUGCUUGAUAGUGAAUGUGCCGGAGAGAUAGGGAUUAGGUGCUUCACAAAGACAAUCACCUUCAAAUUCCAUUCUAAAGGGUGAUUAUGACCCUCAGGUAGAGAAAAUAAAGAAGGGCAUAUUAGGAAUGGAGCUAGAAAUAACACACACAAAGGCCCAGAAGCCCACAGAGGGUUCAUGUCAAGAAAGUGCUGAGAUAGCAUGACCGAAGAGGAUCUCGGUUACAAGAGUACCGAGAGAUGGCAAGGAACAGUAUGAGUUCUUCAUAGCAAUGAGACCUCAUGACCAGCUCAAAAGAUAUUAUACUGUCCUUGUCCACCUUUUCAUGGUCCUUAGCAUGAGUGGGCCUUUGUUUUUUCUGGUCCUCCUUUCUUUACCUAGGGUGUGGUAGAGUGUGAAUUACUAUGACUGGUUUACCCACCCUUGCACUUAACCUGUCCAUCUAGUUCCUGCAGCCUCACUCCUUUUCCAUUUAAUCCCUGUAAUCAUUGUACAUUUCAGAUAUAAUUCUUGUUAUUUAACCUUGGAAAAUUUUACAAAAUACAACCCUACCUAGAGACCUACAAGAACAACAAUAGUAAUAAAAAGCACACUCAUCCUGAGCCUCCUGUAACCCUUGAAACACAUCUCUUAUCAGAGGAAGGAAAUAAAUUAAUCCUUGAAGACACUGAGGUCCAAAAGAAGUUUUAAAGAACAUGCUGUUGGGUUUAGUAAAUGCAUUUAAGAAUACCUGUGAAAAAUCCUAUUUGAACUAGAAAAAUGUAAGCAUACACACACAAAGGCUGAUCUUCCCUGAGUGGGAGUAGAUCAUUUAUGUUGUGGGAAAACAGAUAUUGUCUAGAUAAUGCUUAGAUAGGACUUGAAGGCUCCAAAUGCUGUCAACAAAAGAAAAUGGAGAACUAGUUUUAUAUGACCCAAAAACUCAUAGAUCUAAGCUAUGAUUUAACGUUUCAACUUUCCAUGGUUUUCCCAUUGAUAUCAAAACAUCUCUUGUCAAUUAAUCUUCAGCAAGUAGAGCAUGUUCAAUUUGAUCUUUACUAGAAAAUGCAAUGUACCACAGGGAAUCAGGAGAUGUGGUUUCACUAAAGUAACAGUUAAACACAUUGGUUCAUUAGUCAUUUUGGCAACAUCCCAACAAAAGCCCAGGUUGGCCUAUGAGACUCAGUUGUACCAGGUUGGAAAGUAUUAGCCCUUUGUCAGAUGGAUAGAUUUCCAAAAUGGAAAGUAAAAAUCUGAAAUUACAAACUCUGAAAUAGGCUAAGAAACCAUCAGACAGAGUACUCUGGGUUUCUUGGGAAUCUUACUUUAGAACAGGGAAAUGAAAUAAAAUUUACAAUGGGAUUUAUUCUGAACCUUUUUUAGAUUUUGGUCAGCAGUACUAUAUUCUGUCAACUGUUUAAGUCCCAAGUACUCACUGAUUAAUCCAUUUAUUCACUCAAGUGGCAUUUCCUAUGGAACUCCCCUAUUUUAUAUAAAUAUGAAACAAGGAACAUCACAGGAAGUGCAAAGAAAGACAUUACUACUCCCACACUCAGUAUGAGUCCCCUUUACUAGUGUAUUCUAGACACUCACAUGCAAUAAACAUAACACAUUUGUGGGAAACACACCAUGUGGUGAUGCUUAAUGAGCCAUACCCUUGUGGAAUACCCUUCCCUUCAGUGUGGAUAGGACUCAUUACUUGCUUUCAACCUAUGGAAUAUGGCAAAGGUGAUGGGAUAUCACACUACUUAUUAGGUCAUGCUAUAUGACAAAGGUGAACGAUAUCACUCCAUAAUUACUUUACAUCAUAGGAGACUAUGACUCAGUGGACUGGAGAGAAAUAUUUUCCUAUAGUCUUAAAGAAGCAAACAGCCAUUCUGUAAAGCACCUACGGAGAGGACCAAGUGGCAGGGAACUACAGUGGCCUCUAAGAUCAGAGAGUAGCCAAUAAGAAGCUGAGGGCCUCUGUCAUACAACCAUUGGAAACAAAUUCUAGAACAACCGGAAUGAACAUGGAAAUGGACCCUUCCUCAAUGAGCCUCAGGAGGAGAACACAACCUAGAUGAAACCUUGGUCUCAGCCUGGCUGCCUGAUAAGACCUGGGCAGAAACCCAAGGCUGGAUGCUUCCUCCCUCUCCACCUGCCCUUGGACAUCAGACUCCAGGUUCUUUGGCCUUUGGACUCUUGAACUUUGGACUCUUUUGAUGGGGCCUCUUGAGCCUUUGGCCACAGUCUGAAGGCUGCAUUGUCAGCUUCCCUGCAUUUGAGGCUUUUGGACUUGGACUGAGCCACUACUGGCUUCUUUCUUCCCCGCUUGCAGAUGGCCUACCAUGGGAUUUCGCCUUGUGAUCAUAUUUGAACUGGUGGAAUAUUAACACCCGGAGCCGCUUCCACCAAGGAAGAUCGUCAGUGCUCAAAGACGGGAGGAGAUGGAUCAUUUGUCAUUUCAGAACUGAAUCCAGAAGUUGUUCUUCAAAUGGUAAUGCAAAUAAAUCAAACCCCACAG